rnacentral:lncRNA from 1 species
CAAUAUCAGAAGGAGCAGGACUGUCAGGAGCACAUUGUGAAGGACUUGGUUCUAUGUCAGCAGGAAUCCUGGUGUCAGCAGCACAGGUGGAAUGAGUUGGCUCAACAUCAGCAGGAGCACCCCUGUCAGGAGCAAGUUGUGAAGGAGUUGGUUCUAUGUCAGCAGGAGCCCUGCUGUCAGCAGCACAGGUGGAAUGAGUUGGCUCAAUGACUGCAGGAUCCUCACAGUCAGGAGCACACUGGGAAGUAGUUGUUGGCUCAAUGACUGCAGGAUCCUCACAGUCAGGAGCACACUGGGAAGAAGUAGUUGGCUCAUCAGCAGCAGGAGCCCCAUUGACAGCAGCACAGGUGGAAGAAUUUGGCUCAAAUUCAGCAGGAGCCCUGCUGUCAGCAGCACAGAUGGAAUGAGUUGGCUCAAUGUCACCAG